AACUCUCAAACCGUCGUCUUUAUGGACGUUCGGGCUUGGAUUUGGAUGUUGCUGGGUCUAACGACUUGGCUCAUCUUAAAAGCAUUAGCUGUCUCUCACGACUUCAGUUAACGGUGUGAUAAUUACAUCUACGCCGAAGCCUUCGGGCGCUGAGUUGGGUUAAAGCGGCUUCUAACCGUCUUCGGACAAUUUCAUUUCACAU
rnacentral:misc_RNA from 1 species